UACCCCAAGGUUUGCCCUAAUCCACUGAAUCUUUCUAAUGCCGGCGAUUUCUUUGCCGGAAUAUCGUCGUUAACCUCCUGUUAUCUGUUUUCCCAGACCAGGGACUUGAUUGCUAUGUUUUAGAAAUUUCUAGGGUGCUCUUUGUAAAAUUGCCAAAGCUUGCUGUAUUUCAAAUCGAUGAACUUCUACAUUUCAUAGAUUUUCGCAGGAAGUUCAUAAAAAUGCAAAAUCAGUUUUGUUUGAAACCCUAGGUUGAAAUCUACAAGUUUUAUGUUGUGAUCUUGAGUGAAAGUCUUUGAUUUGUGGUCUAGGUUAAAUAUUAGGAAAUGAAUGCUUGAUUUGUGUCUUUUGUGAUAUGCAUGUGUUGUAGCUUAACAUAGAUCAUAAGCUGUAGGUCUCAAGUACAGAUGUGUGAUCUCUAGUUAAUCUUUUCACACGAGUACUCAGAUUCUUGCCAUCCAAACUCUGUCGUCGUUUUGAUGACCUUUUCCUUAAGGUUCUCUUCGUAUAAAAAUCCUUAUUAGUCCAUGUGCAUCUGCUGCUUAGCCACUAGCAGCUGUGUUCCAUUGGCGGCUAUUAGUUCAGCUGCUAAGCAUCUGUUUUCCUUGAGUCUAGGAUGUUUCUGCAUAACAGCAGUCAGUCGAUACUUCUAUCAUCGACCGAUUAGCUGAUAUGGUUGUUACCUUUCUAGUAUCAGCUACUGCCGAUACAAUUCUUUUGAUCUGUUCUGUAUCGACUGCACAGAGUCGAUGUAUCGGAGAAACACACACGAUCUUAGGGUUUUUGCCAUCGGCUGACCCAAGCCGAUUUUAGUUGCUUUUCUAUAUCGGUCAAACACGGCCGAUCGAUCCUUAGUUUCCGCUUCCUUAUCCACAUACUUCUAUCAGUCGAUUUAUCGACUAAAAGAUCGGCUAUCUGUCUAUCGGUCAUGUACCCUCAACCACACUCCAAUCGGCUGUACGUCACUCAAUAGUUGUGCUGGCGUAAUCGAGUCGAUGCAACCACACUUAGUUAUCUAGAAUAACCCUUAAGCACAUCUCAGUUAGGACACGACUGCUUUAGGAAUCAUCCCUCUACUGAAGUAAUCAAUGUUUUCAUCAAUCGUCUAGAAACCCGAUGUAUCUUUCUAUCAGCUAAACCUCCGUUGUUUCCAAUCGGCUCUGUUGUGAUCUUCAACGAGCAGCCGAUUCUGGUUAGUUGUCCCCCUAAAGCUCUAUCUAGGUUUAGUUCAGAUCUUUUUGGUUAAUAUGUGAAUAGUAUGUUGUAUGAAUGCUGGAUUGCAAUUGAAUUGUGAAGUAAGGUAGUUUUAUGUGCACGCUUGAAUGUAAUGUUGCAUUACAUGUAGAUACGACUACUUCGGCAACGUUACCUACGAGAUCUCCCCGGAGUCUACGGAGGAUGUUCCUGAAGACCGAGUGAAUGUCACCAAGAGAUCAACUGAAGCCCCGAACCAAAGUUCGGAAGAUGUUGACUUACUGACUUCAGACCCACCAGUAAAGGCAAGCCCCGGACAUAACCCCUUAUUUUAAUUAUACAGCAAUCUAUAUCUAUUUACGUAUUCUAUGCACUAAGUUCUUAGGAAUUGCUUGAAACCCUAGUUGCAUUUCCCUAGGAACCAAUGUGAUGAAUACUAGCACUUGAGUCCGACUAGCUGCUAUGCUAAUAGGGCCGGUAAAAGUCGGGUGAUUUCCUGUCACUCGCGCGAUAUAGGAGUUGUAAUGUUUACAUUCCUGUUACCACUAUAAGGAUGCCGGACGGGAGUUUUGUGCGGUAUCAUGGUCGAGAUGAUACCCCGUCUGUGUUGAUGAAUCUGAUAAGGUCGCAGUGUGUGGUAGUGCGGGUUAAGCGUUUGAAAGUACUAGCCACAUGCCGUGAGUUAUGGGUAAGCGGUAAGCCUAGUAGCCAAUCGGCCCGAGGAGUGGACAUACCUCCCACCACAUGUAUUUGGUUCUUCUGGUUACUUAUGUUCGAUUGGGGAAAUACGUGUUGCAAGGGCAACCAGGAAUACGGGUUUUGUAGUCGCGCUACAGACGUAUGUCCUGCACUUUGGGAGUGCGUAUGUUCCUGCAGUCGCUUGUGGUGGACCUGUCCACGAGUCGGAAUGAAAGGCAAACGGUUGCUUCGGAACUAUCGUUGGAUGUUCCAAGCGUGUGAGUUAGGUUUACCUUGCAAGGUUGAAAAUUCGAUUCUGAAUCGUCCGCCUCUCACGAAGAUUGAGACUGCUUAAUCCCUUUAUCACAUAGAGUAACAAGAGCAACAUUAUGGUUAUCAAAGAUGAUGCUUGACCAAAGAUUAUACCAUGCUUGCUUAGUUAUAGGUGCUUACCUAGAAUGGAUAAUUAACUAGAAUCUGAAAGCUAAAACUUGAAGUUAAGGAUCUACUCUUUGUUGCUUUUCAGCUGAAACUAAACCCAAAACCAUUAUGAGCUCUCAUAAGUCUAGUUAUGGGCUAAGUAUACCCAAUCCCGAGUAAGCCUUGCUGAGUAUUAGUAUACUCAGCCUUGCUAGCUUUAUGUUUUUCAGGUAAAGCCUUUGAAGACCCUAUUCUUCCCUUGUCAUGGCCCUGUGCUUUUCCAGAAGAUUGGUCCGAGGAAUGGGAUCCGUCCCCGACCAAUACUGAUGAUCUCGAGUGAUGUCGUGUCUGGGCUUAGCAUGACAUCCACCUUGAUGACGUGUUGUAAUUCUUCGCGUAUGUUUUCCGCUGCUUUUAACCCUAGUUUUACAGUUUGUAAUCUUUUCUCUAAAUGUGAAACUUCAUACUUCUUUUGGAAACUCUUGUAAUGUAAUUCUCUAUGAUGUAAAAUAUGAUGGUG
rnacentral:lncRNA from 1 species